UACGGGGGGGGCAAGCGUUGUUCGGCAUUACUGGGCGUAAAGGGCGCGUAGGCGGCCUUCUAAGUCGGACGUGAAAUCCCUCGGCUUAACCGAGGAACUGCGUCCGAUACUGAAAGGCUUGAAUCCGGGAGAGGGAUGUGGAACUCCAGGUGUAGCGGUGAAAUGCGUAGAUAUCUGGAGGAACACCGGUGGCGAAGGCGGCAUCCUGGACCAACACUGACACUGAGGAGCGAAAGCCAGGGGAGCAAACGGG
rnacentral:rRNA from 1 species